GCUUACGGCCAUACCACUCUGACAAAGCCUGAUCUCAUCUGACCUCGGAAGCAAAGCAGAGUUGGGCCUGGUUUACGUACUUGGUUGGGAGACUGAAUGGGAAUACUAGGUGCUGUAAGCU
ensembl:rRNA 5S_rRNA 5S ribosomal RNA